AUCGCAUGUAAAUUCUUUUAUUGAGAGAAAAAUAGUGGAAAAACUAUAUUGACGUUAUUCAAUGAAUAAGCCCCGGCUAACUAUGUGCCAGCAGCCGCGGUAAUACAUAGGGGGCGAGCGUUAUCCGGAAUUAUUGGGCGUAAAGGGUGCGUAGCCGGCUUGAUGAGUCACUAGUUCAAUUUCAGCGCUUAACGCUGUCCUGCUAGAGAAACUGUCUUACUAGAGUGAGAUAGAGGCAAGCGGAAUUCCAUGUGUAGCAGUAAAAUGUGUCAAUAUGUGGAGGAACACCAGAGCCGUAGGCGGGUGGCUGGGAC
rnacentral:rRNA from 1 species